rnacentral:lncRNA from 1 species
AUGAGAAGACAGGAGGGGAGAGGAGAAGACAGGAGGGGAGAGGCGAAGACAGGAGGGUGGAAGACAGGAGGGGAGAGGAGAGGAGAAGACAGGAGGGAGGAGAAGAAUACUGGAGGGGAGAGGAGAGGACAGGAGGGGAGAGGAGAAGACAGGAGGGAGGAGAAGAAGACUGGAGGGGAGAGGAGAGGACAGGAGGGGAGAGGAGAAGACAGGAGGGGGAAAACAGGAGGGGAGAGAAGACAGGAGGGGAGAGGAGAAGACAGGAGAGGAGUGGAGGGGAGAGGAGAAGACAGGAGGGGGGAAGACAGGAGGGGAGAGGAGAGGAGAAGACAGGAGGGAGGAGAAGAAGACUGGAGGGGAGAGGAGAGGACAGGAGGGGAGAGGACAGGAGGGGAGAGGAGGAAACAGGAGGGGAGAGGAGGAGACAGGAGGGGAGAGGAGAAGACAGGAGGGGAGAGGAGAGGACAGGAGGGGAGAGGAGAAGACAGGAGGGGGAAAACAGGAGGGGAGAGAAGACAGGAGGGGAGAGGAGAAGACAGGAGAGGAGUGGAGGGGAGAGGAGAAGACAGGAGGGUGGAAGACAGGAGGGGAGAGGAGAGGAGAAGACAGGAGGGAGGAGAAGAAGACUGGAGGGGAGAGGAGAGGACAGGAGGGGAGAGGACAGGAGGGGAGAGGAGGAAACAGGAGGGGAGAGGAGGAGACAGGAGGGGAGAGGAGAAGACAGGAGGGGAGAGGAGAAGACACGAGGGGAGAGGAGAAGACAGGGGGGGAGAGGAGAAGACAGGAGGGGAGAGGAAGAGACAGGAGGGGAGAGGAGAAGACAGGAGGGGAGAGGAGAAGACAGGAGGGGAGAGGAGAAGACAGGAGGGGAGAGGAGAAGACAGGAGGGGAGAGGAGGAGACAGGAGGGGAGAGGAGAAAACAGGAGGGGAGAGGAGAAGACGGGAGGGGAGAGGAGAAGACAGGAGGGGAGAGGAGGAGACAGGAGGGGAGAGGAGAAAACAGGAGGGGAGAGGAGAAGACGGGAGGGGAGAGGAGAAGACAGGAGGGGAGAGGAGGAGACAGGAGAAGAGAGGAGGAGACAGGAGGGGAGAGGAGGAGGUGGUGUGUAGAGCAGGGUGCUGGCACUGCCAGGUUGCUAACCAUACGCAGCGUGGGCUGCUGGGAGCACUAG